GGCUCCAUAGUGUAGUGGUUAACAAGUCUGCUUUACACACAGAAGGUCCCGGGUUCGCGCCCCAGUGGAGCCA
rnacentral:tRNA from 1 species